ACUUACAUUGCUGUGACUGUUCCACAGUGGGUCAAAAAAGAGACGAAUACAGGUUUCAAGAAGAAAAUUGGCUGUUGAAAACCUGCACAAAAUAUGAGGUAAGUAAACUAUUCUUUUGGUUUGUUUUGUGCUUUGUUAUGCUUGACUAUUUUUCAGAUUGGAAUGGUGGGUCGUUACAGAGCAGACUUUUGGACAACUGAGAAGUUGAGAAACAGAGAAUGAUUCAAUAUCAGCUAGGUAAGUCUUGAUUAUUCUGCAUUGUAAAAUGUGUUUCUUUUUCAUUUCAGUAUGGCUGUGGUAAGUACACUAACUUUCUAUAAUUUCAUAUUGAACUGUUUUGAUGACUUGUAUUAUGCAUUGCUAAAUGUUUUUUUCAUUUCAGUAUCCUGUGGUAAGUACACUAACUUUCUAUAAUUUCAUAUUGAACUGUUUUGAUGAUUUGUAUACUGCUAUGCAUUGCUAAAUGUUUUUUUCAUUUCAGUAUAGCUGUGGUAAGUACACUAACUUUCUUUAAUUUUCAUAUUGAACUGUUUUGAUGACUUGUAUUCUGCUAUACAAAAUGUGCUUUUUUCAAUUUCAGGUCAGCAAUGGUAAGUUUAUUGUGUUUCUUUAUGUAUAAUUUUGUAUACAUAUUGUUUUUUUCAUCAUAGCAUGUUUUUUAUAUUUAUGCUUUGUGUAAGUAAAAUGUUCAUAAAUCAUUCUUAUCUUUAAACUAAAAAUGUAUUUUGAUAUGCAAAAUGUCUGUAUGAUUUCAGUUGCCAGAGGUGAGUACCAUUACAGUUGAAAAGUUAGUUUUGUUUAGUUAAAGUUUUGGUUCACAGUUCUGUUUAUUAUUUGGCAAAAUUUACAUGUAUGCAUUGAGUCUUGAUUUCAGCUCGAUUGUGGACUGAAGAAGAUUGCCAGCAGAGGGAUUGGAUACAAAAUACAAAGUAAGUACUGAGUUUCUUACUAAAAGUUUUGAGUUGUAUUCAUUGUGUGUUAAUAUGCUAUGAUUGCUAUGAACAUGACUUUUGUAUUUCAGCGAAGACAACAUAGGUAAGUAAAAUUGUUAUCUGUUUCAAGUUUACUGUUAUAGUUCAAUAUUGUGUUUAUAAAUUGUAAGUUGUACAAACACAUUCAAAAGUUUCUGAUCAUGCUUUCAAUUUCAUUUCAGCCCUACUACAAGACGAGUGUUUUCUACUACUAGACGUGUCAGGUUUACUUCCAGGCGAGCAGUGACAACAAGGCGCCUUUGUGGAAACAGCAAAACAAACAACUCUACUGCAAGACGAGCAGUAACAGCAAGGCGCCUGAACAUGCAACACAAUAAAAAAAAUGCCAAUAUCCAAACCUUGAUGUGGACACCGAGUAGUCAAUACAUACGUGUGGCGUAUAGCUGCGACAAAACCGUGGGUCCAUCGCACCGAUAACUUGAACAUUGGCCCGUGUAUGGACAUCAGUGCAACUUUGUGAAUCCAUGUAACUUUGUGAAUCCAUGUAACAUUGCGAAUGUGUGUCGAUCGAAAAAUGUGUACAUUCUGCACUGAAACGAACUCGGUGUUGCAAGUGGCAAGUGUUGACAGUGUGUAUGUUUAUGUUUAUGUUUUUACAUGAAAAAUAAAGGAGAUUGUUGUUUUAUUGUGCUGGCCAGCAAUAUUGAUGUAUUGAUGUAUGUGUUUGUGUUUAAACUAUGCAAUACCAAAAUCAAACAAAAAAUAAACAUUAACAGUCAUUAACUGUGUUUGGGCGGCCGAGGGGUUUAAGACUCCACAAGUGUGAAGCGCACUGAUAGCACUUGGGGGUAAACACCUCGGUAUUUCGGUGCUAAAAUGUUUUCACGGUGCUUAUUUUGACGCACUGUUAGAACUACCAACCAGUAAAUGAUUGCUUGAUUUAUAAAACAAAUAUUCAGUCUCUACUUUGGCACAAGAGACUCUAAGUAUCAAAUACCAACAAUUUAGACGCAGACAAUCACAUGGUGGUACACCAGUCCGAAUAUACUCAUUGCUCUAGCCAGGAUUGCAAAUUACUUGUGUUGACUAGCAAGGCUCCCUAGUAACGGAGCAGUGUUACUGGCGUUUUUUGGGUCGAUAGUGCUUAGGUGAGGUUUUGCUCGAAUCGGGAGCGGGUCACUCGCUUGGGCGAGUUAGUUUUCGCUCGUAGUUUCCAAUCUGGCUAGAUCAAUGUAAGGUUGUUUUGACUGCUAUUUGGCAAGCAGAAAGACAACAGCGGUUAAUUGACUGAGUAUGGGCGACCGAGGUAUGUAGGUGUCAAUAGACCGACUCCACAAGUUGCGAAGCGAACCGAUAGCACUUGAGGGGAAACGCCUCGGUUUUCGGUUCUAACAUGUGUUAUCCAUGCUGUCGUUAUACUCUGGCAAGGCUCCUCAAUCUAUCGCGAGGGACACUCAUUAUUGCCCGCAAGCUUUAGAACCUGACGUGGGUCGAUGCGUAUGCGAGUCCGAGGACGCGAUGGCAUUUGAUAAGGCUACCAACCGGUUGAUAACACGCAUUGUUCAAAUUGUUAGGUUUAAGUCUGCUAGGGCUGGGGUGGGAA